AUGCUGACAUAAGUAACGAUAAAGCGGGUGAAAAGCCCGCUCGCCGGAAGACCAAGGGUUCCUGUCCAACGUUAAUCGGGGCAGGGUGAGUCGACCCCUAAGGCGAGGCCGAAAGGCGUAGUCGAUGGGAAACGGGUUAAUAUUCCCGUACUUGGUGUUACUGCGAAGGGGGGACGGAGAAGGCUAUGUUGGCCGGGCGACGGUUGUCCCGGUUUAAGCGUGUAGGUGUGUGUUCCAGGUAAAUCCGGUUCACUUUAACACUGAGGCGUGACGACGAGGCACUACGGUGCUGAAGCAACAAAUGCCCUGCUUCCAGGAAAAGCCUCUAAGCAUCAGGUAACAUCAAAUCGUACCCCAAACCGACACAGGUGGUCAGGUAGAGAAUACCAAGGCGCUUGAGAGAACUCGGGUGAAGGAACUAGGCAAAAUGGUGCCGUAACUUCGGGAGAAGGCACGCUGACACGUAGGUGAAGUGAUUUACUCA
rnacentral:rRNA from 1 species